rnacentral:rRNA from 1 species
GAUGAACGCUGGCGGCGUGCCUAAUACAUGCAGGUCGAGCGAACGGACGAGAAGCUUGCUUCUCUGAUGUUAGCGGCGGACGGGUGAGUAACACGUGGAUAACCUACCUAUAAGACUGGGAUAACUUCGGGAAACCGGAGCUAAUACCGGAUGAUAUUUUGAACCGCAUGGUUCAAAAGUGAAAGACGGUCUUGCUGUCACUUAUAGAUGGAUCCGCGCUGCAUUAGCUAGUUGGUAAGGUAACGGCUUACCAAGGCAACGAUGCAUAGCCGACCUGAGAGGGUGAUCGGCCCCACUGGAACUGAGACACGGUCCAGACCCCUACGGGAGGCAGCAGGAGGGAAUCUUCCCCAAUGGGCGAAAGCCUGACGGAGCAACGCCGCGUGAGUGAUGAAGGUCUUCGGAUCGUAAAACUCUGUUAUUAGGGAAGAACAUAUGUGUAAGUAACUGUGCACAUCUUGACGGUACCUAAUCAGAAAGCCACGGCUAACUACGUG